rnacentral:lncRNA from 1 species
UUCAUCAUUACUGCUUGAGCUAGAAUCAUCUGGAGGUAUUACAUAGUUAACCCUUCGUCUUGGAUAACCUUUGACAGCUUUGCGUUCGGGCCAUUCAGCAAUGUCAGCAAGCCUUAUCUGAUCUGCAUGCACUUGAACAACUGAGUUGUCAAGCUGGUUCUUAAUAAGGACCUCCCUAAAGGCAGAACUCGUAAAUUCUGACCCUCGGUCAUGAAUUAUCUGGAGAGGACAUCCAUAUCUAGGAUAUAUCUCAUUCAAAAAUUCUGGUGGUCGUGAAAAGAAAUCAGCAAUAACAUUUGCCUUUCCUGGAAGAUAUUCUAUCUUACAGUUGUAACCACUAAUAGACAAU